CUGGGCAGCUAUGCCGGAGUAGUGAUAUUAAAAGAUACUAUUCCGAUAGAUGGACUUAAUAAUAUUUAUUUACAAACACCUGGAAUUAUAAUCCUCUUUGCAGGAAUAUUUGCAUUUAUAGGAAUGCUGUCCGGAAUUUGUUAUUGUUGUAAAACAAAUAGUCAAUGUUGCAGUAUUUUUUUCUCGAUUUGUCUAUUUUGCAUAUUUUCUCUGACCCUGGCUGCAACAAUUUUUUAUUGUUUGAAGAAACCACAAAUGAUAAGUUUGAUACGGA